UACGUAGGGUGCAAGCGUUGUCCGGAAUUAUUGGGCGUAAAGAGCUCGUAGGCGGUUUGUCGCGUCGAAUGUGAAAACCCGAGGCUCAACCUCGGGCCUGCAGUGGGUACGGGCAGACUAGAGUGCGGUAGGGGAGAUUGGAAUUCCUGGUGUAGCGGUGAAAUGCGCAGAUAUCAGGAGGAACACCGGUGGCGAAGGCGGGUCUCUGGGCCGAUACUGACGCUGAGGAGCGAAAGCGUGGGGAGCGAACAGG
rnacentral:rRNA from 1 species